GGGCCCAAGAAAUCCAUAAUCCUUCAUUCCCAAGAGAAAUUAUAUUUCGAAUCCGAAUGCACCGCCAUGCACCAUCCUAAUCAUACCAUCUAAUGCCUAUGUAGUUAUCCAUCAUGCACUCAUCUCGGUAUUUAAUCUAUAGGAAUGAGAUGGUGUAAUUGGUGCAAUGUACAGUACAUGCGGUCAGAAUAUAAUUUCUCAAUCCUCAGUUUGAGGAAGCGGAGAGUGCCACACCAGCCCUGAUGAUA
rnacentral:lncRNA from 1 species